GAUCAUGGCUCAGAUUGAACGCUGGCGGCAGGCCUAACACAUGCAAGUCGAACGGUAACAGGAAGAAGCUUGCUUCUUUGCUGACGAGUGGCGGACGGGUGAGUAAUGUCUGGGAAACUGCCUGAUGGAGGGGGGAUAACUACUGGAAACGGUAGCUAAUACCGCAUAACGUCGCAAGACCAAAGAGGGGGGACCUUCGGGCCUCUUUGCCCAUCGGAUGUGCCCCAGAUGGGAUUAGCUAGUAGGUGGGGG
rnacentral:rRNA from 1 species